UUAUAUUCGAAUAAAUAUUUGUCGCCCCAGUCUUACAAGCAUCAAAAAUCUUGUAUGCUUGCUGCUGAUUGAAACUCCUUUUUUCUGAUUA
rfam:Citrus sinensis cultivar Ridge Pineapple sweet orange scaffold00142_contig_27, whole genome shotgun sequence.